rnacentral:rRNA from 1 species
CGGAGGAAAAGAAACCAACAGGGAUUGCCCUAGUAACGGCGAGUGAAGCGGCAACAGCUCAAAUUUGAAAUCUGGCCCUUGGGUCCGAGUUGUAAUUUGUAGAGGAUGUUUUUGGUGCGGUAUCUUCCGAGUUCCUUGGAACAGGACGCCUUAGAGGGUGAGAGCCCCGUACGGUUGAAUGCCUAGCCUUUGUAAAACUCCUUCGACGAGUCGAGUAGUUUGGGAAUGCUGCUCUAAAUGGGAGGUAAAUUUCUUCUAAAGCUAAAUACUGGCCAGAGACCGAUAGCGCACAAGUAGAGUGAUCGAAAGAUGAAAAGCACUUUGAAAAGAGGGUUAAAUAGCACGUGAAAUUGUUGAAAGGGAAGGAUUUAUGACCAGACUUUUUCUGGGCGGAUCAUCCGGUGUUCUCACCGGUGCACUUCGCUCAGUUUAGGCCAGCAUCGAUUUUCGGUGGGGGAUAAAAGCUUUAGGAAUGUGGCUCCUCCGGGAGUGUUAUAGCCUAUUGUAUAAUACCCUACUGGGGAUCGAGGUACGCGCUUCUGCAAGGAUGCUGGCGUAAUGGUUAUCAAUCACCCGUCUUGAAACACGGACCAAGGAGUCGAACAUUUGUGCAAGUGUUUGGGUGUUAAACCCUCACGCGUAAUGAAAGUGAACGGAGGUGAGAGCCCUUACGGGUGCAUCAUCGACCGAUCCUGAUGUUUUCGGAUGGAUUUGAGUAAGAGCAUAACUGUUCGGACCCGAAAGAUGGUGAACUAUGCGUGGAUAGGGUGAAGCCAGAGGAAACUCUGGUGGAGGCUCGCAGCGGUUCUGACGUGCAAAUCGAUCGUCAAAUCUGCGCAUGGGGGCGAAAGACUAAUCGAACCAUCUAGUAGUUGGUACGC